rnacentral:rRNA from 1 species
UUAUCGGAGAGUUUGAUCCUGGCUCAGGACGAACGCUGGCGGCGUGCCUAAUACAUGCAAGUCGAGCGGACAGAUGGGAGCUUGCUCCCUGAUGUUAGCGGCGGACGGGUGAGUAACACGUGGGUAACCUGCCUGUAAGACUGGGAUAACUCCGGGAAACCGGGGCUAAUACCGGAUGGUUGUCUGAACCGCAUGGUUCAGACAUAAAAGGUGGCUUCGGCUACCACUUACAGAUGGACCCGCGGCGCAUUAGCUAGUUGG